CAGAUGGCGACCGGCGCACGGGUGAGUAACACGUAUCCAACCUGCCGCUACUCGGGGAUAGCCUUUCGAAGAAAGAUUAAUACCGAUGGUAUAAAGAGUUCGCAUGUUCUCUUUAUUAAAGAAUUUCGGUAAGCGAUGGGGAUGCGUUCCAUUAGAUAGUUGGCGGGGUAACGGCCCACCAAGUCUACGAUGGAUAGGGGUUCUGAGAGGAAGGUCCCCACAUUGGAACUGAGACACGGUCCAAACUCCUACGGGAGGCAGCAGUGAGGAAUAUUGGUCAAUGGACGAGAGUCUGAACCAGCCAAGUAAGCGUGAAGGAUGACUGCCCUAUGGGUUGUAAACUUCUUUUAUAAGGGAAUAAAGUGAGGGACGUGUCCCUUUUUGUAUGUACCUUAUGAAUAAGGAUCGGCUAACUCCGUGCCAGCCGCAGC
rnacentral:rRNA from 1 species